AAUAAGUGCAGUUUUGCACUGUUCACGUUCAACGUUUGACCGUCCGUCUUAUUUGAAAAAUUUGUGAACAAAUUAAAAACAUUUAGUCACACAUAAAGUACUAUUCAUGUUUUAUCAUCUAAUAGCAAUAAAAAUACUAAUCAUAAAAAAUUUUCAAAUAAGACGGACGGUCAAACGUUGAACAUGAAUAGUGCAAAACUGCACUUAUU
rnacentral:pre_miRNA from 1 species